UCGGAUAUGGUGUAACGGCUAACAUUGCCGCCUCUCAUGAGAUCGCGGCAGCUCGGGGUUCGAUUCCCCGUAUCCGAA
rnacentral:tRNA from 1 species